GACGAACGCUGGCGGCGUGCUUAACACAUGCAAGUCGAACGGAAAGGCCCUGCUUUUGUGGGGUGCUCGAGUGGCGAACGGGUGAGUAACACGUGAGUAACCUGCCCUUGACUUUGGGAUAACUUCAGGAAACUGGGGCUAAUACCGGAUAGGAGCUCCUGCUGCAUGGUGGGGGUUGGAAAGUUUCGGCGGUUGGGGAUGGACUCGCGGCUUACCAGCUUGUUGGUGGGGUAGUGGCUUACCAAGGCUUUGACGGGUAGCCGGCCUGAGAGGGUGACCGGCCACAUUGGGACUGAGAUACGGCGCAGACUCCUACGGGAGGCAGCAGUGGGGAAUAUUGCACAAUGGGCGGAAGCCUGAUGCAGCAACGCCGCGUGCGGGAUGACGGCCUUCGGGUUGUAAACCGCUUUCGCCUGUGACGAAGCGUGAGUGACGGUAAUGGGUAAAGAAGCACCGGCUAACUACGUG
rnacentral:rRNA from 1 species